UAGUGGCUUUGCAAGAUUUAAAAUGUUGAGAUAUAGAAUAUAAAAAUAUAAAAUAUAAUAUUUUAAAAUAUUAGAAUUUAAAAGUUAAAAUUUAUUAAUUUUAAAUUUAAACUCUAAGUUUAAAUUUAAAAUUAAAUUCAAAAUUUAAAUAUAAAAUUUAAAAUUUAAAAUUGAAAAUCAAAAUUAAAAUCAGAUUUUAGAGAGCAUGUUUUAAAUGCUUCUAAGUUUAGAGCUUUUAAAAUUAAAAAUUUAAUUUAAAAAAAAUCAAAAAAUCAGAUUCUUCAAAAAAGAAAAAUUUACCAGACGUUCUAUCGGCUCUAAAAUUACUUUCCAAAAGUUAAGGCUAUGUUUGGUUGGGAGAUAAAAGGUGGAAUAAAAUAUUUAUUCCACCCUUAUCCUCCAAACGCAAAUAAAAAAUGGUGGGAACACUAAUUCCCUUCUUAACGGGUUAUUCUAGAAUAGCCCGUUAAGAGGUGGAAAACUAGUGUUCCCACCGUUAAGAGAGAGAGAGAGAGAGAGAGAGAGAGAGAGAGAGAGAGAGAGAGAGAGAGAGAGAGAGUGUGUGUGUGUGUGUGAGAGAGAGAGUGAGUGAGAGAAUUUUUAAUUUAUUAUAAAAUUUAAAUUUCGUAAAUUUAAAAAUUAAAAUUUAUAAUUUUUAAAAUUACAAAAAUUAAAAAUUAAAAUUUAAACUGUUUAAUUUUAAAUUUUAAAAUUUGAUAUUUUAAAAUUUUUUUUAUUUAGAACUUGAUAUUUUGUAUUUGUAAAUUAAAAUUUCUUCUUAAAUUUAAAGUUUAAAAUUUAAAAUUAUAAAUUUGAGAUUUUAAAAUUUUAAAAUUUAAUUUUGAUUUUUAAAAUUUAAAUUUUAUAUUUUAAAUUUUAAAAUAUAAAUAUAAAAUAUAAAAAUUUAAAUUCUAAUAUAAGGAAAAGAAUAAUAUUAUUAUUUUUUAUUUAUAACUACCCACUUUAAUUCUUAUUCCAUCUUAGCUAAUCAAACACUAUUUUUCUUAUUUCCAGGAAUAACCCAAUUUUCAUCCAAAUGCAAAAUUAAUCUAAUCUCCGCUUAUACUUCAAUUUAUAUUUAUUUCCGAAAUACCCACUUUUUGUUUAUCCUCGAACCAAACGAUAUCAAGAGGCGAAACAAUCCCACUACACCAUAGCAGGAGAUCACAAAAGUGCUAGUAACAAACAAUAUUAAUAAUUUUGUAUUAAAUUAAAAUAUUUUGUUUUAAAAAAAUUAGAAUAGGUCUCGUGUGCUUUCGAAAAUACGAAUGCCUCCGUACUUAUAAGUUAUCUAUGAUAACGAACAUCCAAUUUGACGAUCGGACCUGUUAAGCAUGAUCUACGCUAUUAGAAUUAUUUUAAAAUCAAAUUUCAUAAUUUUUUAAUAUUAUUUAUUUAUCAAAUAAUUAAAAAGUCCUAAACAUGACUGUUUUAAUGGCCGAUGUAGUACGUUCUCAAGUUUAACAAUGUAGAACAAUCUAAAUUAAGUAAAAUUUUAAUACAAAAUUUUACUUACCAUCAAGAGCAAAAUAAAUACUUACGAUUUGAAAUCUAAAUUUUUUAUCAUUAUUUUUUUAUAGAAUUUUUAUUUUUAGCCAUUUACUGGACAAACAAAAUUAAAAAAUUUUAUUUUUAGAUAGUUUCAAUAGUGUUGAUCCUGUCUAACGAAAUCAAUCGCGGAAUCAGAUAUUUCAUCAUCAAAAAUAAUUUAUAAAUAUGAUACAGUAGCCUAGAUCACAAGUAUUAUCCUCUUAUAUUUAUUUAUUAUUAUAAUUAUUAUUUUUAUUUAGGAAAAACUUCAAAUACCCCCUCCGUGGUUUCGCACUUUCUCACUCCGUGGUUUCGCACUUUCUUACUCUAGUAUCAUGUGGUUUAAAGUGUAUCAAGUUAGUACCCUGUGGUUUCGCACUUUCUAACUUUAGUACAUUGUGGUUUAAUAUUUUGUUAAAUUAUAUACAAAAAACUUCAUAUAUCCUAUCUAGAUUUAUCGAAUAUUCAUUUUAGUACCAUUGCGUUUUAAUUUUGUCAUUGAUUUAAUGAAAUAGAUAAUAAAAAAAGAAAAAUAAAACCAUAGAGUACUAACUUGAUACACUUUAAACCACAGGAUACUAAAGUGAGAAAGUGCGAAACCGCAGGAUACUAACUUAAUAUAUUUUAAACCACAAGAUGCUAUAGUGAGAAAGUACGAAACUACAGGAGGUUAUUUGAAGUUUUCCCUUUUAUCUAUAAA
rnacentral:lncRNA from 1 species